rnacentral:lncRNA from 1 species
AUUUGCUCAUUUAUUGCAGUUUUAUAAUAGCUGCCUUAAAUUCUUUUUCGGGUAAUUUUGACUCCUUUGCCAUUUAGCAACUCUUUUCUCAUGCAAGUUGAGAUUUGGAGAGGGGAGCAUUUUCAUUUUUAUUUUUGUUGCUUGUUUUUUAUUUCAGAUAAUUUUUAUUUUAUCUUGGACAUUUUACAUAUUAUCUUAAGAGAUUCUGGUUCUUAUUUACAUUCUAUUGAUGUUUUAGCACACAGUUUACCCUUUUAGGUUCAGUCCUCUGACCUUCGGUGAGCAGUAAUUCCAGUAUCAGUCCUGAUAUCCCUUUUCUGUGCUCUCAUAGUGGUCUGUCUAGAAUUUGGGUGGAAUUUUUUUCUUAAGCUUGCAUCUCAAGGCCUUUGGAAUGCUAAUAAGAAUCAGAUUCAUUCAUGUACUGUUUAGGUUUACAGAUAGCUUCUGGUCACAAGAGGUGGGUCACUGUGGCCUGACUUGGUGUUGCUUUCCUAAGAUCCUUGCUCUGUACUAUUUCUCCUUUGAUUUCUGGACUUUUGUGGUUGUUCUUUUUGAUCCUCUGGGUAUGAUCCUCUGUGUAUGAACCUCUGACUUUUGUUAUUAAUUCAUGGUAUAAGGAACCAAGAGAAAAAAAAGGUUUACCAUUUUCCCUGGGGUUCACCAAAUGGAGAGAGAAGUAAGGUUCUUGUCCCUUACAGUUUUAGCUACUAUGCUUUCUUCUUGCCAAUAGCUUCUCUGUUGCUAAUGCUUUCCUUGUGAGGUUGCCUUUGGGGCUAAACAUUUGGAAAUACAGUUAAAGAAGCAACAGAUUUCCCCCAGUGUUUCUAAGCUCUUUGGAGUUUUCUCCAGCCAGAUAGAAAAUUAAUCUUGUAUCUUUGUAUGUACCACAGUGUUCUCUGCCGUGGUUGGAGCUUGUUGUGGUUUAUAGCUAGAUGUUCCCCAAAGCUUCAUGCACUCAGAGAUGGCACUUGUGGAAGGUGAUUGGACUUUGGCAGCACUACAGCUGGCUUCACGUUAGGAAGUAGGAUCUGGUCACAGGAGAAUUUUAUUACUUCUCAUCUGGACUGAUGAUGUAAUGCAUUAAGAAGCAUAUACAAUCCAACCUGCAACUCCCCCCCCACCAAUCUUUCACAUACAAUCAGUAUUCUAACAUUUUGAUGUGUCUCUUUAAAACACAAAUCUGAUUGAAUUGUUCCUGUUCUGAAAGUCUUUGAAUAUGAUAUCCAAAUUUGAGGUUAGUGUCUGUAUUUAUUUCUAGAUAAUUA